GAUGAACGCUGGCGGCGUGCCUAAUACAUGCAAGUCGAGCGAAUGGAUUAAGAGCUUGCUCUUAUGCAGUUAGCGGCGGACGGGUGAGUAACACGUGGGUAACCUGCCCAUAAGACUGGGAUAACUCCGGGAAACCGGGGCUAAUACCGGAUAACAUUUUGAACCGCAUGGUUCGAAAUUGAAAGGCGGCUGCGGCUGUCACUUAUGGAUGGACCCGCGUCGCAUUAGCUAGUUGGUGAGGUAACGGCUCACCAAGGCAACGAUGCGUAGCCGACCUGAGAGGGUGAUCGGCCACACUGGGACUGAGACACGGCCCAGACUCCUACGGGAGGCAGCAGUAGGGAAUCUUCCGCAAUGGACGAAAGUCUGACGGAGCAACGCCGCGUGAGUGAUGAAGGCUUUCGGGUCGUAAAACUCUGUUGUUAGGGAAGAACAAGUGCUAGUUGAAUAAGCUGGCACCUUGACGGUACCUAACCAGAAAGCCACGGCUAACUACGUGCCAGCCGCCGCGGUAA
rnacentral:rRNA from 1 species